rnacentral:lncRNA from 1 species
GGGCAAGGCAGGAGGAUUACUUGAGACCAAGAAUUCAAGUCCAGCCUAGACAAUGCAGUGAGACCCCUUCUCUCCAAAAAAUACAAAGGUUAGCCAGGCAUGCUGCCAUUCACCUGUGGACCAUUCCACAGCAAAAGAUCCUAAAAGGAGCAUCUAUGUUCUACCUACUCAACAUUCUAGAAACUUAGAAAGGGGAGAGGGGCAGGAAAAUAAAAGAACUACAUUUCUGACAACAAUGAAAUAGUUUAUUUUCUUCAAAUAUUUUAAGGUACGAACGUCAGAAAUAAAAAUGCAGCAUUUAACCCUGGAACCUCAAAUAUCACUGAUUAUACUCAAAGGAGCAGAGGCAUUGUUUUCCAUCUGAUUCCUCAGUUCCUCACACACACAACCAUCCCCCUCACCCCAUGAUCUGAAAAGCGAAAUGAGGAAUUCACCCUAAAAUUAGUGUGGAGAAAACAAGCAAAUUAGGUUAUUUACUAAGUGACUACAUAAAAAACUGAGUAUGAGACCAAGAAAAAUAGAUUCUGUAGUUUUAGUUAAAAAAAAAAUUGACUUGUAAAUCCCAACUACUCGGGAGGCUGAGACACAAGAAUCGCUUGAACCCAGGAGGCAGAGGUUGCAGUGAGCUGAGAUUGCACCGCUGCACUCCAGCCUGGACAAUACAGCCAGACUCCAUCUCAAAAAAAAAAAUAAUUAAUAAAUAAAUAAAAUAAAUAUACUGAAAAUAUUUCACUCCACUAAGAUGUUAAGCUAAAAACAAAUACUGUUUUCUCUUCUUCAAUGUUUGUUAACAUUAGUCCUUAAUAACAUCUGUUUACAAUAUCCCUAAAUGCUCUCUUUAAGAUUCCACCUGUGAUUAAAUUUCAAAUACAAAAAAGUAAAACGGAUUUGGGAAACUUUUCUAUAAAGUACAGCAAUUAAUUUGCAAUCCAAAAUAUAAAGCAAAUUUUAUAUAAUUUAUGCUUUACUAUAUUAGUACUUGCUUCACAUUAAAAUUAAAGAUCAGUAUGGCACCACACAUGAAUAACAUGCAGGCUCAGGUUACCAUUAUACAUAAAUUUUUAAAAUAAAUAUAUGGCAAAAAUAAUAAUUGUCAUUCCAUUGAAAGAAUAUUUAUUUUGCAGCUGUUAAAAGACAUUUUUCCCUAAAAAAAGAAAAGCUGUGCUUUACAUAGCAAUCUUAUAAAAGAAAUGCUAGAAUCAGAAAACCAUCAUUUUAGGCUGGGUGCAGUGGCUCACACCUGUAACCCCAGCACUUUGGGAGGACGAGGCAGGUGGAUCACUUGAGGUCAGGAGUUCAAGACCAGUCUGGCCAGCUCGAUGAAACUCCGUCUCUACUAAAAAUAUAAAAAUUAGCAGAGCACAGUGGCACCUGCCUGUAAUCCCAGCUACUCAGGAGGGUGAAGCAUGAGAACUGCUUGAACCUGGGAGGCGGAGGUUGCAGUGAGCCGAGAUUGUGCCACUGCCCUCCAGCUUGGACAAUAGAGCAAGAUUUCGUCUCAAAAAAAAAGAGAAAAAGAAAACCAUUAUUUUGCAAUAGCCAAUGUUAUAAUCUACACAGG